rnacentral:rRNA from 1 species
UACGGAGGGUGCAAACGUUGCUCGGAAUUAUUGGGCGUAAAGCGCACGUAGGCGGUCCAGCAAGUCGGGUGUGAAAGCCCUCGGCUUAACCGAGGAAGUGCAUUCGAAACUACUGGGCUUGAGUACUGAAGAGGAUCGCGGAAUUCCCGGUGUAGAGGUGAAAUUCGUAGAUAUCGGGAGGAACACCUGUGGCGAAAGCGGCGCACUGGACCAUAACUGACGCUGAGGCGCGAAAGCUAGGGGAGCAAACAGG